UACGAAGGGGGCUAGCGUUGUUCGGAAUUACUGGGCGUAAAGGGCGCGUAGGCGGCCUGCUAAGUCGAACGUGAAAUCCCUGGGCUCAACCCAGGAACUGCGUCCGAUACUGGUUGGCUUGAAUCCGGGAGAGGGAUGUGGAAUUCCAGGUGUAGCGGUGAAAUGCGUAGAUAUCUGGAGGAACACCGGUGGCGAAGGCGGCAUCCUGGACCGGUAUUGACGCUGAGGCGCGAAAGCCAGGGGAGCAAACGGG
rnacentral:rRNA from 1 species